CCUUCGCGCGUCUCCAUCUGGGUCUCGCUCUGUAAACCCAGUAGGUCUCUAUCCCUGUGCGGCCACCGAAGCGUUAUUACCCUGGACGCCCCCUCCGGCCUGCUCAGUUGCCCUCAGGCUAUGAUAAAUCCGACUCUGAAACUCCGAAAGGCCUGUGAAUGCUCACCAGAAAACCAACACGUGACCCAAGACGUUGAUUUUUACUCUGUUUAGACCCCACGAGCCUCAAAGCCACCAGAGGCUGCGGGCAGAAGAGGCGCGCAGUCGGUUCCCUCCGGCAGGUGUAACGCGUCACUGCGCACGCACAGGCUGAACGCACAGGUCCCGCUGGCCUCCCCCCUCCGCCUCCCUCCUGUAAGGACCCCUGUGAUCGGCUGGGCCUACCGCACAAUCCAGGGCAAGUUCCGCGUUUCAAGACCCUUCUGUCCUCACACCGGCAAAGACUUUGCUUCCCUCCGCGGGGACGACGCCUGGGCUCGCUGGGAGCCGGUGUUCCGCCUACGACCCCUCCGCUCGACACAAGAAGCCUGCCCCCAUAGUAACAACGUUGCCAGUUCGCCCCUAUUCCCACCACUGUUGAGAGCAGGGCAAACGGAAAAAGGAGAAGAAAACCAGAGGCCUGAGGCAAAGUAGUUCCUUUGUUUGUGUGAAGUUUUUAGGAGGAACCACAAGUCUUCUCUCCGACUCCUCCACUUCUGUCUCCAUCACCCGAAGUUUGACGCAGGUGCUAAGUGGGUGGCCGCUGCCGCCACAGGACAGCACAAAGAGGCCAGAGUCCUGCCAAACAUUAAAAAAAAAAAAAAAAAAAAAAAAACAAAUCUGCUUUAAAUGACUCAGAAGCCUGCAUGGGCCCGACUGCUGGCUCAAACCGUCCGAUUUCCUUCCCUCCAAUCAGUCCCUUCUUUUAAAAUCCCUGCUUAUGGACACCUGGGUGGCCUAGUUGGUUAAAUGCUCGACUUUUGACUUGGGCUCAGGUCAUGAUCUCAGGGUUCAUGGGUUCAGGCCCCGCAUCAGACAGCACGGAGCCUGCUUGGGGUUUUCUC